AACGAACGCUGGCGGCAUGCCUAACACAUGCAAGUCGAACGAGACCUUCGGGUCUAGUGGCGCACGGGUGCGUAACGCGUGGGAACCUGCCCUUAGGUACGGAAUAACUCCCCGAAAGGGGUGCUAAUACCGGAUAAUGUCUUCGGACCAAAGAUUUAUCGCCUUUGGAUGGGCCCGCGUUGGAUUAGCUAGUUGGUAGGGUAAAAGCCUACCAAGGCGACGAUCCAUAGCUGGUCUGAGAGGAUGAUCAGCCACACUGGGACUGAGACACGGCCCAGACUCCUACGGGAGGCAGCAGUGGGGAAUAUUGGACAAUGGGCGAAAGCCUGAUCCAGCAAUGCCGCGUGAGUGAUGAAGGCCUUAGGGUUGUAAAGCUCUUUUACCCGGGAUGAUAAUGACAGUACCGGGAGAAUAAGCGCCGGCUAACUCCGUG
rnacentral:rRNA from 1 species